rnacentral:rRNA from 1 species
UACAGAGGUCUCAAGCGUUGUUCGGAUUCAUUGGGCGUAAAGGGUGUGUAGGUGGCGCCGUAAGUCGGGUGUGAAAUUUCGGAGCUUAACUCCGAAACUGCAUUCGAUACUGCGGUGCUUGAGGACUGGAGAGGAGACUGGAAUUCAUGGUGUAGCAGUGAAAUGCGUAGAGAUCAUGAGGAAGACCAGUGGCUAAGGCGGGUCUCUGGACAGUUCCUGACACUGAGACACGAAGGCCAGGGGAGCAAACGGG